UACAGAGGGGGCAAGCGUUGUUCGGAAUUACUGGGCGUAAAGGGCGCGUAGGCGGCCUUCUAAGUCGAACGUGAAAUCCCCGGGCUCAACCCGGGAACUGCGUCCGAUACUGGAAGGCUUGAAUCCGGGAGAGGGAUGCGGAAUUCCAGGUGUAGCGGUGAAAUGCGUAGAUAUCUGGAGGAACACCGGUGGCGAAGGCGGCAGCCUGGACCGGUAUUGACGCUGAGGCGCGAAAGCCAGGGGAGCAAACAGG
rnacentral:rRNA from 1 species